rnacentral:rRNA from 1 species
GGUCAGCGACUUAUAUUCUGUAGCAAGGUUAACCGUAUAGGGGAGCCGGAGGGAAACCGAGUCUUAACCGGGCGUUAAGUUGCAGGGUAUAGACCCGAAACCCGGUGAUCUAGCCAUGGGCAGGUUGAAGGUUGGGUAACACUAACUGGAGGACCGAACCGACUAAUGUUGAAAAAUUAGCGGAUGACCUGUGGCUGGGGGUGAAAGGCCAAUCAAACCGGGAGAUAGCUGGUUCUCCCCGAAAGCUAUUUAGGUAGCGCCUCGUGAAUUCAUCUCCGGGGGUAGAGCACUGUUUCGGCUAGGGGGCCAUCCCGGCUUACCAACCCGAUGCAAACUGCGAAUACCGGAGAAUGUUAUCACGGGAGACACACGGCGGGUGCUAACGUCCGUCGUGAAGAGGGAAACAACCCAGACCGCCAGCUAAGGUCCCAAAGUCAUGGUUAAGUGGGAAACGAUGUGGGAAGGCCCAGACAGCCAGGAUGUUGGCUUAGAAGCAGCCAUCAUUUAAAGAAAGCGUAAUAGCUCACUGGUCGAGUCGGCCUGCGCGGAAGAUGUAACGGGGCUAAACCAUGCACCGAAGCUGCGGCAGCGACGCUGAUGCGUUGUUGGGUAGGGGAGCGUUCUGUAAGCCUG